CCCACGUUUAAGAUAUCUUUUCUGAUAGUUUAGACACACAGCACGGACUGUUAUUAUACAAUACUACCCAUAUUGGAGACAAGAUUCAUAAUCCGUUCAUACUAACCUUUUCUCUUGCGCGUUGUCCGCGGUAAAACAAACGAAGCUGGCAGUGUUGGUUUUGCACCUGUCUUGUUCUGGAAGAUACAGACCUCCGUUUUUAUCAAUGGAUACUGGUCACACUUCAGCGCAUUGGGCCAAAGGUAGCCAUUCUUUUUUAGGACACCCGAACAGCCCUUCUGUACAUCAAGACAUAACUCCCGACAUGGUGGCACGAGUUUAUUGAUGGAAGUACACAUUGGAAAAUAGACCGAACAAAGAAACGUCAAAACGUCGAGAGAGCAGCCUUGGCUCAACAGAGGACGCAGGCUGUUAACGCUUUUUAUGGCUUCGGAUUGCUUGCGAUGGCCCAAAUAAUUUGGGAAGAUUGUUCGAUUGUAGUCCAUCUGCCGACAUAUAUCAUAGGUGAGGGUUUCGCAUUUGUCGUCUUUCGGCGGUAUUAGCGGGUUAUAACUAUGCACUGCUGUUUGCGCACAGAGGAGAACCAAGAGUCCCGAGAUGACUUGGUAACCCAUGGUCGAAUCGCGCUUCUGCCUUUUCGAAUCGAGCUAUUUAGCUAUACGGUCAGUUCAGUCUACCUUCCCUGGCAAGCGAACGAAGACUAAUCCAGCACAGAUGGAGACGUUUCGUUUUUGUACUGACGUACUGUUUAUCUGCGGUCUUGUGAGUUGAAUGCCGCGCGUUCCAGAGAUAAUGUGUUUUGUAGCAGUGGCUUGGCGGUGGCGCCUUGCAAUUACGAUCGACCUAACAGGUCGUGGCCCGAUGUGAUACGUUGUAAUACUUGGAAUCCGGA